CACGUAGGGGGCAAGCGUUGUCCGGAUUUAUUGGGCGUAAAGAGCUCGUAGGCGGCUCGGUAAGUCGGGUGUGAAACCUCCAGGCUCAACCUGGAGACGCCACUCGAUACUGCCGUGGCUAGAGUCCGGUAGAGGAGCGUAGAAUUCCUGGUGUAGCGGUGAAAUGCGCAGAUAUCAGGAGGAAUACCAGCGGCGAAGGCGGCGCUCUGGGCCGGUACUGACGCUGAGGAGCGAAAGCGUGGGGAGCGAACAGG
rnacentral:rRNA from 1 species